rnacentral:rRNA from 1 species
GGGUUGUGAGGUUAAGCGACUAAGCGUACACGGUGGAUGCCCUGGCAGUCAGAGGCGAUGAAGGACGUGCUAAUCUGCGAUAAGCGUCGGUGAGGUGAUAUGAACCGUUAUAACCGGCGAUUUCCGAAUGGGGAAACCCAGUGUGUUUCGACACACUAUCAUUAACUGAAUCCAUAGGUUAAUGAGGCGAACCGGGGGAACUGAAACAUCUAAGUACCCCGAGGAAAAGAAAUCAACCGAGAUUCCCCCAGUAGCGGCGAGCGAACGGGGAGGAGCCCAGAGCCUGAAUCAGUGUGUGUGUUAGUGGAAGCGUCUGGAAAGGCGUGCGAUACAGGGUGACAGCCCCGUACACAAAAAUGCACAUAUUGUGAGCUCGAUGAGUAGGGCGGGACACGUGGUAUCCUGUCUGAAUAUGGGGGGACCAUCCUCCAAGGCUAAAUACUCCUGACUGACCGAUAGUGAACCAGUACCGUGAGGGAAAGGCGAAAAGAACCCCGGCGAGGGGAGUGAAAAAGAACCUGAAACCGUGUACGUACAAGCAGUGGGAGCCUCUUAAUGGGGUGACUGCGUACCUUUUGUAUAAUGGGUCAGCGACUUAUAUUCUGUAGCAAGGUUAACCGAAUAGGGGAGCCGAAGGGAAACCGAGUCUUAACUGGGCGUUAAGUUGCAGGGUAUAGACCCGAAACCCGGUGAUCUAGCCAUGGGCAGGUUGAAGGUUGGGUAACACUAACUGGAGGACCGAACCGACUAAUGUUGAAAAAUUAGCGGAUGACUUGUGGCUGGGGGUGAAAGGCCAAUCAAACCGGGAGAUAGCUGGUUCUCCCCGAAAGCUAUUUAGGUAGCGCCUCGUGAAUUCAUCUCCGGGGGUAGAGCACUGUUUCGGCAAGGGGGUCAUCCCGACUUACCAACCCGAUGCAAACUGCGAAUACCGGAGAAUGUUAUCACGGGAGACACACGGCGGGUGCUAACGUCCGUCGUGAAGAGGGAAACAACCCAGACCGCCAGCUAAGGUCCCAAAGUCAUGGUUAAGUGGGAAACGAUGUGGGAAGGCCCAGACAGCCAGGAUGUUGGCUUAGAAGCAGCCAUCAUUUAAAGAAAGCGUAAUAGCUCACUGGUCGAGUCGGCCUGCGCGGAAGAUGUAACGGGGCUAAACCAUGCACCGAAGCUGCGGCAGCGACGCUUAUGCGUUGUUGGGUAGGGGAGCGUUCUGUAAGCCUGUGAAGGUGUGCUGUGAGGCANGUUCUGUAAGCCUGUGAAGGUGGCCUGUGAGGGUUGCUGGAGGUAUCAGAAGUGCGAAUGCUGACAUAAGUAACGAUAAAGCGGGUGAAAAGCCCGCUCGCCGGAAGACCAAGGGUUCCUGUCCAACGUUAAUCGGGGCAGGGUGAGUCGACCCCUAAGGCGAGGCCGAAAGGCGUAGUCGAUGGGAAACAGGUUAAUAUUCCUGUACUUGGUGUUACUGCGAAGGGGGGACGGAGAAGGCUAUGUUGGCCGGGCGACGGUUGUCCCGGUUUAAGCGUGUAGGCUGAUUUUCCAGGCAAAUCCGGAAAAUCAAGGCUGAGGCGUGAUGACGAGGCACUACGGUGCUGAAGCGACAAAUGCCCUGCUUCCAGGAAAAGCCUCUAAGCAUCAGGUAACAUCAAAUCGUACCCCAAACCGACACAGGUGGUCAGGUAGAGAAUACCAAGGCGCUUGAGAGAACUCGGGUGAAGGAACUAGGCAAAAUGGUGCCGUAACUUCGGGAGAAGGCACGCUGAUAUGUAGGUGAAGCGACUUGCUCGUGGAGCUGAAAUCAGUCGAAGAUACCAGCUGGCUGCAACUGUUUAUUAAAAACACAGCACUGUGCAAACACGAAAGUGGACGUAUACGGUGUGACGCCUGCCCGGUGCCGGAAGGUUAAUUGAUGGGGUUAGCGGCAACGCGAAGCUCUUGAUCGAAGCCCCGGUAAACGGCGGCCGUAACUAUAACGGUCCUAAGGUAGCGAAAUUCCUUGUCGGGUAAGUUCCGACCUGCACGAAUGGCGUAAUGAUGGCCAGGCUGUCUCCACCCGAGACUCAGUGAAAUUGAACUCGCUGUGAAGAUGCAGUGUACCCGCGGCAAGACGGAAAGACCCCGUGAACCUUUACUAUAGCUUGACACUGAACAUUGAGCCUUGAUGUGUAGGAUAGGUGGGAGGCUUUGAAGUGUGGACGCCAGUCUGCAUGGAGCCGACCUUGAAAUACCACCCUUUAAUGUUUGAUGUUCUAACGUUGGCCCGUAAUCCGGGUUGCGGACAGUGUCUGGUGGGUAGUUUGACUGGGGCGGUCUCCUCCUAAAGAGUAACGGAGGAGCACGAAGGUUGGCUAAUCCUGGUCGGACAUCAGGAGGUUAGUGCAAUGGCAUAAGCCAGCUUGACUGCGAGCGUGACGGCGCGAGCAGGUGCGAAAGCAGGUCAUAGUGAUCCGGUGGUUCUGAAUGGAAGGGCCAUCGCUCAACGGAUAAAAGGUACUCCGGGGAUAACAGGCUGAUACCGCCCAAGAGUUCAUAUCGACGGCGGUGUUUGGCACCUCGAUGUCGGCUCAUCACAUCCUGGGGCUGAAGUAGGUCCCAAGGGUAUGGCUGUUCGCCAUUUAAAGUGGUACGCGAGCUGGGUUUAGAACGUCGUGAGACAGUUCGGUCCCUAUCUGCCGUGGGCGCUGGAGAACUGAGGGGGGCUGCUCCUAGUACGAGAGGACCGGAGUGGACGCAUCACUGGUGUUCGGGUUGUCAUGCCAAUGGCACUGCCCGGUAGCUAAAUGCGGAAGAGAUAAGUGCUGAAAGCAUCUAAGCACGAAACUUGCCCCGAGAUGAGUUCUCCCUGA